GACGAACGCUGGCGGCGCGCCUAACACAUGCAAGUCGAGCGAAGCGGCGAACGGGUGAGUAACGCGUGAGGAACCUGCCUCUCACAACGGGAUAGCCUCGGGAAACCGGGAUUAAUACCGUAUGGGGAGAGUUGGCCUCGAGUCUGAUUAGUUAGUUGGUGGGGUAACGGCCUACCAAGACGACGAUCAGUAACCGGCGUGAGAGGGUGAACGGUCACUUUGGAACUGAGACACAGUCCAAAAUCCUACGGGAGGUGGCAGUGGGUAAUCUUGCACAAUGGGGGAAACGCUGAUGCAGCGACGCCGCGUGAGCGAUUAAGGUUUUCGAAUCGUAAAGCUCUGUCCUAUGGGAAGCGGUACCAUAGGAGGAAGCCCCGGCUAACUACGUGCCAGCAGCCGCGGUAAUAC
rnacentral:rRNA from 1 species